rnacentral:rRNA from 1 species
CCUACGGGUGGCAGCAGUGGGGAAUAUUGGGCAAUGGGCGCAAGCCUGACCCAGCAACGCCGCGUGAAGGAAGAAGGCUUUCGGGUUGUAAACUUCUUUUGUCAGGGAAGAGUAGAAGACGGUACCUGACGAAUAAGCCACGGCUAACUACGUGCCAGCAGCCGCGGUAAUACGUAGGUGGCAAGCGUUGUCCGGAUUUACUGGGUGUAAAGGGCGUGUAGCCGGGUUGACAAGUCAGAUGUGAAAUCCCCGCGCUCAACGUGGGAACUGCCUUUGAAACUGGCAAACUGGAGUGUGUGAGAGGAUAGUGGAAUUCCAGGUGUAGGAGUGAAAUCCGUAGAUAUCUGGAGGAACAUCAGUGGCGAAGGCGACUAUCUGGCACAUAACUGACGCUGAGGAGCGAAAGCGUGGGUAGCAAACAGGAUUAGAUACCCGAGUAGUC